rnacentral:rRNA from 1 species
AGUGAAGCGGCUACAGCUCAAAUUUGAAAUCUGGCCUCCUUUGGGGGUCCGAGUUGUAAUUUGCAGAGGAUGCUUUGGCAUUGGCGGCGGUCUAAGUUCCUUGGAACAGGACAUCGCAGAGGGUGAGAAUCCCGUACGUGGGCGCCUGCCUUUGCCGUGUAAAGCUCCUUCGACGAGUCGAGUUGUUUGGGAAUGCAGCUCUAAAUGGGAGGUAAAUUUCUCCUAAAGCUAAAUACCGGCCAGAGACCGAUAGCGCACAAGUAGAGUGAUCGAAAGAUGAAAAGUACUUUGGAAAGAGAGUCAAAUAGCACGUGAAAUUGUUGAAAGGGAAGCGCUUGCAGCCAGACUUGCCCGCAGUUGCUCACCUAGGCUUUCGCCUGGGGCACUCUUCUGCGGGCAGGCCAGCAUCAGUUUGGGCGGUCGGAUAAAGGCCUCUGUCAUGUACCACCCCUCGGGGUGGCCUUAUAGGGGAGGCGUAAUGCGACCAGCCCGGACUGAGGUCCGCGCAUCUGCUAGGAUGCUGGCGUAAUGGCUGUAAGCGGCCCGUCUUGAAACACGGACCAAGGAGUCUAACAUCUAUGCGAGUGUUUGGGUGUCAAGCCCGGGCGCGCAAUGAAAGUGAACGGAGGUGGGAACCCUUCGGGGUGCACCAUCGACCGAUCCUGAAGUCUUCGGAUGGAUUUGAGUAAGAGCAUAGCUGUUGGGACCCGAAAGAUGGUGAACUAUGCUUGAAUAGGGUGAAGCCAGAGGAAACUCUGGUGGAGGCUCGCAGCGGUUCUGACGUGCAAAUCGAUCGUCA